AGGUAGUUUCUUUACUGGUAUUCUUUCUGUUUUAGUUCUGUUCUUACUUUUAGCUUGUUUAGCCUAGUUUUAGAGUGUUUUUGUAGGUUGAGUAGUGAAAUUUUGAGUUUAUUGUAGAAUUUAAUUUUUGAGUUGAUUUCUAGCUUUCUUUAGUCAUUUUAAAGUUGCUUGAAUACAUUUUACCUCUGUUUUUACUAAUUUUUCCAGAUUUGCACAUUUCUCAUUUUGCUAGCUUAGCUCUUAAUUUGUAGAUGAUAGAUAGAGUGUCUAAUUUGAGUGGAUAAUUUUUAGUCAUGUUUGUACAGUUCCAUACAUUGAAUUAAGUGAUUUUUACAUGAUGAAUCAUUUGCAAAGAACAGUUUUGACAAAAGUGAACCUUGAGAGAUUUGAACUUGAGUUUUUCUUGUGUGUGCAUUCAUGAAAAUGACAUUCUACGCUUUGCAUUAUUUCUCUUCAUAACUGAUCAUUUGAUGUGCAUUCUUAAUGUGAUCUAGGCCCUCCUUGAAUUAAGGCACUUGCCAAAUAUAGGCUACCUUGGAAAAUUUUCCCUAGCACCUAUUUUUGACCCUGUUUUUAGCCUUUUAUUCAGAUUUUUAUGUCCAUUGUCAACCUUGGACCUGUAAAACCAGAUUAUACCCUGUCCUAGAGCUGUGAGGUAAAGUAGGCUGUGUGUUAUCGGACAUUGUUGAGUUCAAGUGUGGGGGUAUCAUUGAAAAAGAGGCAUGUGACUGAGUUGAUGGCUGAAACAGUUUGUGAAUCAUUGAAAAGUGAGAGAAAAAGCUGGAACAAAAUGGGAAAAUUCUGGUGAAGAAAAAUAAGAUGGGUAUAGUGUUUCAAAAGCAUCCCCAGGUCAAACAGACACAACAGCUGUAGACAGGCAACCAGAAAAGGUUGGCCUUAAAAUGGUCAGGAAAGAUGAGGAGAGCAUUCAAGAUCUGUCUUCAUCUUUUAAGAGAGUUAAAUUAAGUACCUCAGAAAAAGAGAAGGAAGUAUCCAAAUCAUAUGAAGCAGUGGUCAAAUCCUCUUCCAAUCUAGCUAUUAAAAAGAAAGAUGCACAUUCUGUUUCCAUAUCAGAAAGACCAUAUGAUGAGGAAAACAAUAAUUCCACAAGGAAAUAAAUGCAAUGUGAAGGGGAGACAAGUAGAGUUACUGCUAAUGGUGGUGCUUCCACUUCCAAUUUUGAUCGUGACAAUGUUAAAGAGAAAUUCCAGGUAGAAAAAGUGGGUAGAUCGUGUGAGACUAAACUCAAAUCUCCCUUAAAUCUGCUGGUGAAAAGAACCUAGCCGUACUGUUACUUGGGCGGAUAAGAAAAUCAAUGGUGCUGGGAAUAAUGAUCUUUGUGAGGUUGAAGAAUUUGGAGAUAUUAGAAAAGAAUAUGAAUCACGAGGUAACGUAGAUAUUGCUGAUGAUGAGGAUAUGCCACGUCAAGCAUCAGCAGAAGCUUGUACAAUUGCAAUUAAGCCAAGCAUCAGAAGCAGUUGCAUCUGGAGACUCAGAUGUCACUGAUGCUGUUUCUGAAGCUGGAAUUAUUAUAUUGCCUCUGCCACAUGAUGCUGUAGAGGAAGGUACUAUGGAGAUGAUGCUAUGCUACAAAAUGAUUCGGUUACUCUGAAAUGGCCAAGAAAGCCUGGAAUUUCGGACAUUGAUUUCUUUGAAUCUGAUGACCCAUGGUUUGAUGCUCCACCAGAGGGUUUCAGUUUGAAUGCAAAAGCAAUUGGUCAGACAUGACAUGGUGAGGAAUAUAUGCUGAUGGAAGUUAUUGGCUUUCAGUAAGAAAAUAGGAUCUGAAGCAAAAGCUUUUGCUUUUAAGUAAAUAUAUUAUAUGCAGGGAACUGUAGGAAGUUAGUGCUUAAGGAAUAAACCAAAGGAGAAAGUGUUGAGAUUUCUCCAAUCUUAGGUAUAUUACCAUAUGUGUUCAUAAUAUGUUCUUGAAAUUACUUUUUGGAGUCAAGGGAAAAAUAGAUAUCAAGAUUGCAACCUGAAUUCUUGGUGUUUCUGCUACUUUAAGCUAAAAGCUUUGUUUUGAAAUUCACGUUGGUGAAAACUUCAAGCUAUCAUACUGUUAUGAAUUAAAAGUAAAAUCUGGUGAUUGCAGUUCUGAAGUUGUGGCCAUUCUGGAA